rnacentral:tRNA from 1 species
GGGGCUGGGGCUCAGUGGUAGAGCACUCACCUGUUAUGUGUGAGGCCCUGGAUUCAAUCCUCAGCACCA